GCAGCCACCUUUUGAAACGCGUCAAAGCGUAACUUUAACACCCAAAAUACCAUUAAUUUUUAUGAACCCCUAAUUUAUAAUGAAUGACUCCAUAUUUAUAUGGAAGACACCAUGCUAGGAUUAGUAACAAGAAUUUAUAAUUCUCCAAAAUGCAAAUAUAAACCAACAUGGAUAGACCAUUGGUAGUUACCGAACCUAAAUUUAAUGCAAUAACAUCCACAAGAAAACUCUGCAGCACUCACUCGUUAACCUAACACCAGCGCAUUACAGGAAAGAUUCAAAAAAAGAGAAGGAAUUCGGCAAAUGACGGCCCCGCCUGUUUACCAAAAACAUCGCCUCUUGACUUAUAAUAAGAGGUCUAGCCUGCCCAGUGAAUUUUAAACGGCCGCGGUAUCCUAACCGCGCGAAGGUAGCAUAAUCACUUGUUCUUUAAAUGGGGACUCGUAUCAACGGCAUCACGAGGGUUUUACUGUCUCCUCUUUUUGAUCAGUGAAAUUGAUCUUCCCGUGAAGAAGCGGGAAUAUUUUUAUAAGACGAGAAGACCCCAUGGAGCUUUAAACCAAAUAACAACUUAACCACUUAUCCCAUAAUAAAUUUAACCCCUGUUAUAAGGUUUUUGGUUGGGGUGACCGCGGAGUAAAGCACAUCCUCCACGACGGAAAGAAUAAAAUCUUUAUUUAAGAACCACACUUCUAGAAAUUAGUAUACUAACGUUUACUGACCCGACAAUCGAUCAACGGACCAAGUUACCCUGGGGAUAACAGCGCAAUCUACUUCGAGAGCUCAUAUCGACAAGUAGGCUUACGACCUCGAUGUUGGAUCAGGGUAUCCCGGUGGUGCAGCCGCUACCGAAGGUUCGUUUGUUCAACGAUUAAAACCCUACGUGAUC
rnacentral:rRNA from 1 species